rnacentral:tRNA from 1 species
GCUGUUAUAGCUCAGGAGGCAGAGCACAUCCUUGGUAAGGAUGAGGUCGGCAGUUCGAAUCUGCCUAACAGCUCCA